rnacentral:rRNA from 1 species
AUGUCAAUGAGUUUCCGGCACGUCUGGGCUGGGGACUUCUCUCCCCCUGAAUUUGCUGCGCACUUCCAUGGACGCCGAGAAGAGGUUGGGAGAGAGUGGAGGCCCUGGGAAGAAGAUGAUGCCAUUUCCCAUCAGCAGGACGGUACGCCUAUCGGCAGUCUAGAGCAAUCGUCGGCUGCAGCGAUGAGCGCGGCCGCACAUAUCCGUGAGGAACAAGCAGGCGUGAAAUGGAGGAUGGCAAAGCUUGUCCACGGUAUUGGAGCUGUCGACCGGCAUGGUGAAUCCGCAAGCCCCGGGGUGGACAUAAAGUGGAUGCAUGCCGUUGAUCAUCCACUGAGGCAUCAAGAUGAGCAACAUCCUGAUGGACAAGCAGCUGCGAUCAAAGGUUUCAGACUUCGGGCUGUCGAAGCAUGGUCACAGAGGAGUCCCACACCAAAACCAAUAUCUGUGGCAUGCUGGGCUAGAUCCGCAGUCACUACUCAACAGCCUUGUACUUUUGUUGCUUUCAUCUUGGGUCCUACGCACUUCUAG